AGAGUUACCGUCAACCCACAACGUGCUGUUCCCAAUGUAGUGGAAAGGUGCAAAAGAUGAAAAAGAAGGCCGAGAGAACCCUACCAAGAAUCCACAAAAAUAACACCUCAAAGAAAACUGUACCACCUACAAAGAAGAAUAAACGAGCCAAAGGUGAAGCACUAUUCAGACACUACCACCGUUCAAUGGAUGAGAUGACGGCUAGCACUGAAACAGAACCAGAGCCGAGCAGUUCAGACAGCUCCACUGAGUCAAGUAGUGAUGAGGAGAGCCAAUAGACUCAGCCUCCUCAGCAAGCCACCAAAGACUAGAAAUCCAUUCACAGUCUGGCAGCUGAACGAUGUGAAACUGUAGAUGCAGUAGUUACUACGCAGUGCUUUGACACUGGUGAAAAUAAAAUCAAUCUGAUACAGAAA
rnacentral:lncRNA from 1 species